rnacentral:rRNA from 2 species
UUAAGUUAUUAAGGGCGCACGGUGGAUGCCUUGGCACUAGAAGCCGAUGAAGGACGUUACUAACGACGAUAUGCUUUGGGGAGCUGUAAGUAAGCUUUGAUCCAGAGAUUUCCGAAUGGGGAAACCCAGCAUGAGUUAUGUCAUGUUAUCGAUAUGUGAAUACAUAGCAUAUCAGAAGGCACACCCGGAGAACUGAAACAUCUUAGUACCCGGAGGAAGAGAAAGAAAAUUCGAUUCCCUUAGUAGCGGCGAGCGAAACGGGAAGAGCCCAAACCAACAAGCUUGCUUGUUGGGGUUGUAGGACACUCUAUACGGAGUUACAAAGGACGACAUUAGACGAAUCAUCUGGAAAGAUGAAUCAAAGAAGGUAAUAAUCCUGUAGUCGAAAAUGUUGUCUCUCUUGAGUGGAUCCUGAGUACGACGGAGCACGUGAAAUUCCGUCGGAAUCUGGGAGGACCAUCUCCUAAGGCUAAAUACUCUCUAGUGACCGAUAGUGAACCAGUACCGUGAGGGAAAGGUGAAAAGCACCCCGGAAGGGGAGUGAAAUAGAACCUGAAACCGUGUGCUUACAAGUAGUCAGAGCCCGUUAAUGGGUGAUGGCGUGCCUUUUGUAGAAUGAACCGGCGAGUUACGAUUUGAUGCAAGGUUAAGCAGUAAAUGUGGAGCCGUAGCGAAAGCGAGUCUGAAUAGGGCGUUUAGUAUUUGGUCGUAGACCCGAAACCAGGUGAUCUACCCUUGGUCAGGUUGAAGUUCAGGUAACACUGAAUGGAGGACCGAACCGACUUACGUUGAAAAGUGAGCGGAUGAACUGAGGGUAGCGGAGAAAUUCCAAUCGAACCUGGAGAUAGCUGGUUCUCUCCGAAAUAGCUUUAGGGCUAGCCUCAAGUGAUGAUUAUUGGAGGUAGAGCACUGUUUGGACGAGGGGCCCCUCUCGGGUUACCGAAUUCAGACAAACUCCGAAUGCCAAUUAAUUUAACUUGGGAGUCAGAACAUGGGUGAUAAGGUCCGUGUUCGAAAGGGAAACAGCCCAGACCACCAGCUAAGGUCCCAAAAUAUAUGUUAAGUGGAAAAGGAUGUGGCGUUGCCCAGACAACUAGGAUGUUGGCUUAGAAGCAGCCAUCAUUUAAAGAGUGCGUAAUAGCUCACUAGUCGAGUGACACUGCGCCGAAAAUGUACCGGGGCUAAACAUAUUACCGAAGCUGUGGAUUGUCCUUUGGACAAUGGUAGGAGAGCGUUCUAAGGGCGUUGAAGCAUGAUCGUAAGGACAUGUGGAGCGCUUAGAAGUGAGAAUGCCGGUGUGAGUAGCGAAAGACGGGUGAGAAUCCCGUCCACCGAUUGACUAAGGUUUCCAGAGGAAGGCUCGUCCGCUCUGGGUUAGUCGGGUCCUAAGCUGAGGCCGACAGGCGUAGGCGAUGGAUAACAGGUUGAUAUUCCUGUACCACCUAUAAUCGUUUUAAUCGAUGGGGGGACGCAGUAGGAUAGGCGAAGCGUGCGAUUGGAUUGCACGUCUAAGCAGUAAGGCUGAGUAUUAGGCAAAUCCGGUACUCGUUAAGGCUGAGCUGUGAUGGGGAGAAGACAUUGUGUCUUCGAGUCGUUGAUUUCACACUGCCGAGAAAAGCCUCUAGAUAGAAAAUAGGUGCCCGUACCGCAAACCGACACAGGUAGUCAAGAUGAGAAUUCUAAGGUGAGCGAGCGAACUCUCGUUAAGGAACUCGGCAAAAUGACCCCGUAACUUCGGGAGAAGGGGUGCUCUUUAGGGUUAACGCCCAGAAGAGCCGCAGUGAAUAGGCCCAAGCGACUGUUUAUCAAAAACACAGGUCUCUGCUAAACCGUAAGGUGAUGUAUAGGGGCUGACGCCUGCCCGGUGCUGGAAGGUUAAGAGGAGUGGUUAGCUUCUGCGAAGCUACGAAUCGAAGCCCCAGUAAACGGCGGCCGUAACUAUAACGGUCCUAAGGUAGCGAAAUUCCUUGUCGGGUAAGUUCCGACCCGCACGAAAGGCGUAACGAUUUGGGCACUGUCUCAACGAGAGACUCGGUGAAAUCAUAGUACCUGUGAAGAUGCAGGUUACCCGCGACAGGACGGAAAGACCCCGUGGAGCUUUACUGUAGCCUGAUAUUGAAAUUCGGCACAGCUUGUACAGGAUAGGUAGGAGCCUUUGAAACGUGAGCGCUAGCUUACGUGGAGGCGCUGGUGGGAUACUACCCUAGCUGUGUUGGCUUUCUAACCCGCACCACUUAUCGUGGUGGGAGACAGUGUCAGGCGGGCAGUUUGACUGGGGCGGUCGCCUCCUAAAAGGUAACGGAGGCGCUCAAAGGUUCCCUCAGAAUGGUUGGAAAUCAUUCAUAGAGUGUAAAGGCAUAAGGGAGCUUGACUGCGAGACCUACAAGUCGAGCAGGGUCGAAAGACGGACUUAGUGAUCCGGUGGUUCCGCAUGGAAGGGCCAUCGCUCAACGGAUAAAAGCUACCCCGGGGAUAACAGGCUUAUCUCCCCCAAGAGUUCACAUCGACGGGGAGGUUUGGCACCUCGAUGUCGGCUCAUCGCAUCCUGGGGCUGUAGUCGGUCCCAAGGGUUGGGCUGUUCGCCCAUUAAAGCGGUACGCGAGCUGGGUUCAGAACGUCGUGAGACAGUUCGGUCCCUAUCCGUCGUGGGCGCAGGAAAUUUGAGAGGAGCUGUCCUUAGUACGAGAGGACCGGGAUGGACAUACCUCUGGUGUACCAGUUGUCGUGCCAACGGCAUAGCUGGGUAGCUAUGUGUGGACGGGAUAAGUGCUGAAAGCAUCUAAGCAUGAAGCCCCCCUCAAGAUGAGAUUUCCCAACUUCGGUUAUAAGAUCCCUCAAAGAUGAUGAGGUUAAUAGGUUCGAGGUGGAAGCAUGGUGACAUGUGGAGCUGACGAAUACUAAUCGAUCGAAGACUUAAUCAA